rnacentral:rRNA from 1 species
GGUCGAGUCGGCCUGCGCGGAAGAUGUAACGGGGCUAAACCAUGCACCGAAGCUGCGGCAGCGAACGUAUCACCCAAGACAACUUUACGGAGUUGACGAUUGACGGAGCGAAGCGACGUCAAAGCGUUCAUUAAAGUCGAGUUGGCUUAGGGAUACGUUCGUUGGGUAGGGGAGCGUUCUGUAAGCCUGUGAAGGUGUGUCGUGAGGCAUGCUGGAGGUAUCAGAAGUGCGAAUGCUGACAUAAGUAACGAUAAAGCGGGUGAAAAGCCCGCUCGCCGGAAGACCAA